UACGAAGGGGGCUAGCGUUGCUCGGAAUCACUGGGCGUAAAGGGUGCGUAGGCGGGUCUUUAAGUCAGGGGUGAAAUCCUGGAGCUCAACUCCAGAACUGCCUUUGAUACUAUUGGUCUUGAAUGUUGUUGAGGUGGGCGGAACGGGUCAUGUAGCGGUGAAAUGCAUAGAUAUGACCCGGAACACCGAUUGCGAAGGCAGCCCGCUAAGCAACUAUUGACGCUGAGGCACGAAAGCGUGGGGAUCAAACAGG
rnacentral:rRNA from 1 species